ensembl:snRNA U6 U6 spliceosomal RNA
AUGUGCUUGAUGUGACCGCAUGUAUCCUAAAAUUAUAACAAUUCAGAGAAAAUGAUCAUAGCACCUAGGUAAAGAUGACCCACAAAUUCAUGAACCGUUCCAUAUUUUG